CGGUUAAUCACAUCAGCCAAUAUUCGAACCAUAGACGUUAUCGCAAACGAACACGCCACAUAUCGCCUCAUCGUACAUCAAUAACGCCUUUCGCGCGGGUCCCUAUAAAAAGAAGUCCCCGAUCGUGAUUUCAGCAUAACACAUUUUCGUGAGAUUCUAUAUUCUCUGGUGAGUAAAUGAAACGAACAUUUUUCAAACAUAACUGGUGUGAGCAAAAUUAACAGGUUUUUAUUUUUGUUUUUUUGUUUAUACUGAUAGCCUUUUACUUCUUCACUCUACAAAAACCUACCAAAAUCAUCAAAAAUGGGCGCUGAAAAGGUAUCCAUGAACAUCGUCGUCGUCGGACAGGUCCAAGCCUCCAAAGCCGCCAAAAUCGUAGCCAAGGCCGCACCCGUCGCCAGCCAAUUGAUGGUAAGUGUGACCGCAAGUUUAUAUAUUUUGUUAGAUUUCUUUUAUAUACUAUUUGGCUAAAUUAUAAUUUUAUACGUAUUGAACUAAUUCGCGAUUUGUUUACUAAAUAAUUACCGACAAUCGCAAUAAAAACAAAUUUAAUACUAUUUUAUCAAAUCAUUGACGUAUUUAAGAUUAGGGUUCUGAAAUUGCAUGAAAUUUAUAUUUCGACGAUAAAUUAAAUAUAAUUGAUUUUUAAAUUUUUAUCAUUAAUAGUAACUUUACUUGUACCCUGUUACUUAAAAUAGUAAUAUUUUUAUUUAUUUUAACUAUUUCGAUUAAAAAUAAUAUUAAUAAAGAAGAUAGCCAUUGUAUUAUUUAUUUCGAUUUUGUGUAAUCGUAAUGUUGUUUAUUUGUUUCAGAACUGUUAACUCAUGUAGUCCAACAAUCAAAAAAUCAAAAAUGCCAUAGCCCAUACAAUUAUACAUAAUAUUGUGUGAACGUUUCAUUAAUAUUAUGUAUAUUUAUAUCACAAAAUAAACUUGCUCUUUCCGUUAUUAA
rnacentral:lncRNA from 1 species